GUGUCAGCAGCCGCGGUAAGACAGGGGUCUCGAGCGUUAAUCGGAAUCACUGGGCUUAAAGGGUGCGUAGGCGGAUCAGUAAGUGUCGUGUGAAAGCCCCCGGCUCAACCGGGGAACCGCAUGGCAAACUGCUGAUCUUGAGGAAGCUAGAGGCCGGUAGAACGAUUGGUGGAGCGGUGGAAUGCGUAGAUAUCAAUCGGAAUGCCUAAAGUGAAGACAGCCGGCUGGGGCUUUCCUGACGCUGAGGCACGAAAGCGUGGGGAGCAAACAGGAUUAGAAACCCUCGUAGUCC
rnacentral:rRNA from 1 species